UACGAAGGGGGCUAGCGUUGUUCGGAAUCACUGGGCGUAAAGCGUAUGUAGGCGGAUUGUUAAGUCAGGGGUGAAAUCCCGAGGCUCAACCUCGGAACUGCCUUUGAUACUGGCUGUCUUGAGUCCGGGAGAGGUGAGUGGAACUCCUAGUGUAGAGGUGAAAUUCGUAGAUAUUAGGAAGAACACCAGUGGCGAAGGCGGCUCACUGGCCCGGAACUGACGCUGAUGUACGAAAGCGUGGGGAGCAAACAGG
rnacentral:rRNA from 1 species